GUCCCUGUAGUGCAAUGGAUAGCGCGUUGGACUUCUAAUCCAAAGGUCGCGGAUUCAAAGCCCACCUGGGAUG